rnacentral:rRNA from 1 species
UACAGAGGGUGCGUGCGUUAAUCGGAAUUACUGGGCGUAAAGCGUGCGUAGACGGUUUCGUAAGUCGGGUGUGAAAUCCCCGGGCUCAACCUGGGAAUUGCAUUCGAAACUGCGAGGCCAGGGUACGGAAGAGGGAAGCGGAAUUUCUGGUGUAGCGGUGAAAUGCGUAGAUAUCAGAAGGAACACCGAUGGCGAAGGCAGGUCUCUGGGCUGACACUGACGCUCAUGCACGAAAGCGUGGGGAGCAAACAGG